rnacentral:rRNA from 1 species
GACGGAGGGGGCUAGCGUUGUUCGGAAUGACUGGGCGUAAAGGGCGCGUAGGCGGUUUUUUAAGUGAGGCGUGAAAGCCCUGGGCUUAACCCAGGAGGUGCGUUUCAGACUGGAAGACUUGAGUGCGAGAGAGGAAAGUGGAAUUUCUAGUGUAGAGGUGAAAUUCGUAGAUAUUAGAAAGAACACCCGUGGCGAAGGCGGCUUUCUGGCUCGCAACUGACGCUGAGGCGCGAAAGCGUGGGGAGCAAACAGGAUUAGAUACCCUGGUAGUCCACGCUGUAAACGAUGAGUGCUAGACGUUGGGGGGAAACCUUCAGUGUCGCAGCUAACGCAUUAAGCACUCCGCCUGGGGAGUACGGUCGCAAGAUUAAA